ensembl:miRNA
AAAAAGUUCGUUCGGGUUUUCUGAGCCAUGUUACAGAAAAACUUGAGUGAACUUU